CACGGGGGGAGCAAGCGUUGUUCGGAAUCACUGGGCGUAAAGGGCGUGUAGGCGGUCAAGUAAGUGGAAUGUGAAAGCCCCCGGCUUACCCGGGGAUCUGCAUCCCAAACUGCUUGGCUUGAGUACGGGAGGGGAUAGGGGAAUUCCUGGUGUAGCGGUGAAAUGCGUAGAUAUCAGGAGGAACACCGGUGGCGAAGGCGCCUAUCUGGCCCGAUACUGACGCUGAGGCGCGAAAGCUAGGGGAGCAAACGGG
rnacentral:rRNA from 1 species